rnacentral:rRNA from 1 species
AGUGAACGCUGGCGGCGUGCUUAACACAUGCAAGUCGAACGAGAACGGAAUAUAGCUUGCUAUAUUUGUCAGCUAAGUGGCGCACGGGUGAGUAAGGUAUAGAUAACCUGCCCUUAAGAAAGGAAUAACAGUCGGAAACGACUGCUAAUGCCCUAUAUGCCUUUAAUACAUAAGUAUGCAAGGGAAACGCUUUAGUGCUUAAGGAUGGGUCUGUAUGGUAUCAGCUUGUUGGUGAGGUAAUGGCUCACCAAGGCUAUGACGCCUAACUGGUUUGAGAGGAUGAUCAGUCACACUGGAACUGAGACACGGUCCAGACUCCUACGGGAGGCAGCAGUGGGGAAUAUUGCACAAUGGACGAAAGUCUGAUGCAGCAACGCCGCGUGGAGGAUGACACAUUUCGGUGCGUAAACUCCUUUUAUAUAGGAAGAUAAUGACGGUACUAUAUGAAUAAGCACCGGCUAACUCUGUGCCAGCAGCCGCAGUAA